UACGUAGGGGGCAAGCGUUGUCCGGAAUCAUUGGGCGUAAAGCGCGUGUAGGCGGCCUGGCAAGUCCGUUCUGAAAGCCCGGGGCUCAACCCCGGGAGGCGGAUGGAUACUGUCAGGCUCGAGUUCGGAAGAGGCGAGUGGAAUUCCCGGUGUAGCGGUGAAAUGCGCAGAUAUCGGGAGGAACACCAAUGGCGAAGGCAGCUCGCUGGGACGUUACUGACGCUGAGACGCGAAAGCGUGGGGAGCAAACAGG
rnacentral:rRNA from 1 species